AAUCCGUAUUUUUUUGGUGAUAAAAGGAUCAAGAAAAUGAUAUGUAUAAUUGAGAAGGUGAUACGUGGAGGCUGAUAAGUAAAUUUUCUCGUCGGAUAACGCUGAAAAUCCAUUCAUUAGCAGCCACGUGGAUAGCGACAGCAUUUCCUGUUCCGGGGACCAACUCCUUGUCAGCUAAUCCUACGAAUCUAUCCACUUUUUUUGUAACGAAAGAUCCAAUGAGUUCUGCAAAUUACAUUGCAUUUUGUAAUAGAAGUCGUUGUUUCCAUUGUCACUUUCUCAUCCAAAGAGCAAUUCUUUUACUUUUACGCCCACCAACCAGGAAUUGGUUUCCUUGUUUCCUAUAAAAGCCCCACUUUUGAUUUUUCUCUUUCAGACACUAACCUCAGCUUUUACGAUACAAGAAACAAGAUAUUUUUCGGACUUCGGUUUCUUGGCCGGAGAUUUAGCAACCUUAAUUUCCUGGUACGUAAAGUAGAAGUUCCAGUUUAUGCAGAUGCAGCGCCUACGCCACCCUAUUAUUCUCUGUUACCGGAUAUUNNNNN
rnacentral:lncRNA from 1 species